GGUUAAAAUGUCGGUGAAGACCGUCGGUAAAGAGAAAGUCGGCGUGCUGGAUAUUCCGGGCUUCUAUGUGGGUUUGACAGACGAUGUCAAAGUUCAACUGCAGAAACUGGAAAAACAGAAUGUCAGCAGUGUGAUCAUCGACCU
rnacentral:misc_RNA from 1 species